rnacentral:rRNA from 1 species
GUAGGUGGCAAGCGUUGUCCGGAAUUAUUGGGCGUAAAGCGCGCGCAGGCGGUUCUUUAAGUCUGAUGUGAAAGCCCACGGCUCAACCGUGGAGGGUCAUUGGAAACUGGAGAACUUGAGUACAGAAGAGGAAAGCGGAAUUCCACGUGUAGCGGUGAAAUGCGUAGGGAUGUGGAGGAACACCAGUGGCGAAGGCGGCUUUCUGGUCUGUAACUGACGCUGAGGCGCGAAAGCGUGGGGAGCAAACAGGGAUUAGAUACCCUGGUAGUCCACGCCGUAAACGAUGAGUGCUAAGUGUUAGGGGGUUUCCCGCCCCUUAGUGCUGCAGCUAACGCAUUAAGCACUCCGCCUGGGGAGUACGGCCGCAAGGCUG